rnacentral:rRNA from 2 species
CGAGUUCUGAUUAUUGAANGGUGCUUGCAUUUUGAUUNNANUUNAAACGAGUGGCGGACGGGUGAGUAACACGUGGGUAACCUGCCCUUAAGUGGGGGAUAACAUUUGGAAACAGAUGCUAAUACCGCAUAAAUCCAAGAACCGCAUGGUUCUUGGCUGAAAGAUGGCGUCAAGCUAUCGCUUUUGGAUGGACCCGCGGCGUAUUAGCUAGUUGGUGAGGUAACGGCUCACCAAGGCAAUGAUACGUAGCCGAACUGAGAGGUUGAUCGGCCACAUUGGGACUGAGACACGGCCCAAACUCCUACGGGAGGCAGCAGUAGGGAAUCUUCCACAAUGGACGCAAGUCUGAUGGAGCAACGCCGCGUGAGUGAAGAAGGCUUUCGGGUCGUAAAACUCUGUUGUUGGAGAAGAAUGGUCGGCAGAGUAACUGUUGUCGGCGUGACGGUAUCCAACCAGAAAGCCACGGCUAACUACGUGCCAGCAGCCGC